UCCGGUUUGUCACCGGCAGUCACCUUAGAGUGCCCAACUCAAUGCUGGCAACUAAGAUUAAGGGUUGCGCUCGUUGCGGGACUUAACCCAACAUCUCACGACACGAGCUGACGACAACCAUGCACCACCUGUCUCCUUUGCCCCGAAGGGAAACCCUAUCUCUAGAGCGGUCAAAGGGAUGUCAAGACCUGGUAAGGUUCUUCGCGUUGCUUCGAAUUAAACCACAUGCUCCACUGCUUGUGCGGGCCCCCGUCAAUUCCUUUGAGUUUCAAUCUUGCGACCGUACUCCCCAGGCGGAGUGCUUAUUGCGUUAACUGCGGCACUACGGGCGUCGAAACCCCUAACACCUAGCACUCAUCGUUUACGGCGUGGACUAC
rnacentral:misc_RNA from 1 species